rnacentral:rRNA from 1 species
CAAGUCGAACGCAGUAGCAAUACUGAGUGGCAGACGGGUGAGUAACAUGUGGGAAUCUGCCUUGUGGUUCAGGACAACAUUGGGAAACCGAUGCUAAUACUGGAUAAGCCCUUACGGGGAAAGUUUUAAUGCCAUAAGAUGAGCCCGCAUUUGAUUAGUUAGUUGGUGGGGUAAUGGCUCACCAAGACAAUGAUCAAUAGCUGAUCUGAGAGGAUGAUCAGCCACACUGGGACUGAGACACGGCCCAGACUCCUACGGGAGGCAGCAGUGGGGAAUCUUGCACAAUGGAGGAAACUCUGAUGCAGCGAUGCCGCGUGAGUGAAGAAGGCCUUUGGGUUGUAAAGCUCUUUUGUAGGGGAAGAUAAUGACUGUACCCUAAGAAUAAGGUCCGGCUAACUUCGUGCCAGCAGCCGCGGUAAUACGAAGGGACCUAGCGUAGUUCGGAAUUACUGGGCGUAAAGCGCGCGUAGGCCGUUGAGUUAGUUAAUUGUGAAAUCCCAAAGCUUAACUUUGGAACUGCAAUUAAAACUGCUCGACUAGAGUUUGAUAGAGGAAAGCGGAAUACAUAGUGUAGAGGUGAAAUUCGUAGAUAUUAUGUAGAACACCAGUUGCGAAGGCGGCUUUCUGGAUCAACACUGACGCUGAGGCGCGAAAGUAUGGGUAGCAAAGAGGAUUAGAUACCCUCGUAGUCCAUACCAUAAACGAUGAUUGCUAGAUGUUGGAAAUUUAUUUUCAGUAUCGCAGCUAACGCAUUAAGCAAUCCGCCUGGGGAGUACGACCGCAAGGUUAAAACUCAAAUGAAUUGACGG